CUUUUAAACGCGUUUUUUUUUAGGGUGAAAAGAUCAAUAAUGUUUGAAUGUGAAGAAACACACACACGCAUCUUACUAAGACAAGCUCACAGGUACAGUUUUGAAAAGUACAGGACUAUCAAUCCCGAACUGUUUCGUUUAAUAUCUUCUUUGAAUUCGUUUGAAGUAAUGCAAUUUCUCUCUAAAAUGAGGAAAAUAAAUAAGUUUCUUGAUUACAAGAAAGGUGGAAAAAGCUUCAAUGCAGAGUAAAGAUGUAUUUGACCCUCAUGGAUAUGACAAAAGCGACUGCUAUUUUGAAAUAGAAGCUGAUAUGAGACGCGAGGAACUAGAAAAGAAGAAGAAUCCAAAGGUUGAUUUUGUUUCUGGAGGAACACAACCUGUAACAGUUGUGUCUGCACCAAAAAGUUAUCAUACCUAUAGGUGUUUCAUCUGCAGCUGCCACUGGUCUGCUACCUGUGCCACCUGCAGCUGAUACCACUACUAGGGACGGUAGACAGAACAAGAAAUCUAAGUGGGAUAAGGUGGAUGGGGAUCGAAGGAAUCCUUUGCCCUGCGGGGGGCAAGAUUCUAUUUCUGUAGUUGGGGCUCAUGCAGCACUCUUGUCUGCUAAUGCUGUUGCAGGAUACAUGGCUUUUGCGAAAGUGUCCUUAACACAGGAUGCCUCAUAAUCAUCCUGUACAAUAUUUUUUGCAAUAUUUAAUAAAAUCUUAUUAAAAAAACAAUAUAUUAAUGAUAAACUCUUUCUCCCAGUAUUUAUGCAUGAUGAUUCUAACUUGUGUGUUA